rnacentral:rRNA from 1 species
GGGCUGCAGUAUAUUGACUGUACAAAGGUAGCAUAAUCAUUAGUCAUUUAAUUGGUGACUUGUAUGAAAGAUUGGAUGAAAUAUAAACUGUCUCUUAAUUAAAUUAUAGAAUUUAAUUUUUUAAUUAAAAAGUUAAAAUAAAUUAAAAAGACGAGAAGACCCUAUAGAGUUUUAUAUUUAAAUUAGUUAAGAUUAUUUAUAUAUUUAUUAAUUAAAAUUAUUUUGAAUAUUUUGUUGGGGUGACAAAAAAAUAUAAAUAACUUUUUUUAUUAUUAUACAUAUAUAAGUGAUUAUUUGAUCCAGUAUUAUUGAUUAUAAGAAAAAAUUACCUUAGGGAUAACAGCGUAAUUUUUUUUUUUAGUUCAAAUAAGAAAAAGAGUUUGCGACCUCGAUGUUGGAUUAAGAUAAAAUUUAAAUG